rnacentral:rRNA from 1 species
UACAGAGGGUGCGAGCGUUAAUCGGAAUUACUGGGCGUAAAGCGUGCGUAGUCGGUCGUUUAAGUCGAGUGUGAAAUCCCCGGGCUCAACCUGGGAAUUGCAUUCGAUACUGGACGGCUAGAGUUCGGCAGAGGGAAGCGGAAUUUCCGGUGUAGCGGUGAAAUGCGUAGAUAUCGGAAGGAACAUCAGUGGCGAAAGCGGCUUCCUGGACCAGAACUGACGAUCAGGCACGAAAGCGUGGGGAGCAAACAGG